CCUACGUGAGGCAGCAGUGAGGAAUAUUGGUCAAUGGGCGCGAGCCUGAACCAGCCAAGUAGCGUGAAGGAUGACUGCCCUACGGGUUGUAAACUUCUUUUAUAAAGGAAUAAAGUGAGGCACGUGUGCCUUUUUGUAUGUACUUUAUGAAUAAGGAUCGGCUAAUUCCGUGCCAGCAGCCGCGGGAAUACGGAGGAUCCGGGCGUUAUCCUGAUUUAUUGGGUUUAAAGGGAGCGUAGAUGGGUUGGUAAGUCAGUUGUGAAAGUUUGCGGCUCAACCGUAAAAUUGCAAUUGAUACUGGCAGUCUUGAGUACAGUUGAGGUAGGCGGAAUUCGUGGUGUAGCGGUGAAAUGCUUAGAUAUCACGAAGAACUCCGAUUGCGAAGGCAGCUUACUAAACUGCCACUGACAUUGAUGCUCGAAAGUGUGGGUAUCAAACAGGAUUAGAUACCCUUGUAGUC
rnacentral:rRNA from 1 species